GACGAACGCUGGCGGCGUGCUUAACACAUGCAAGUCGGACGGAAAGGCCCUGCUUUUGUGGGGUGCUCGAGUGGCGAACGGGUGAGUAACACGUGAGUAACCUGCCCUUGACUUUGGGAUAACUUCAGGAAACUGGGGCUAAUACCGGAUAGGAGCUCCUGCUGCAUGGUGGGGGUUGGAAAGUUUCGGCGGUUGGGGAUGGACUCGCGGCUUAUCAGCUUGUUGGUGGGGUAGUGGCUUACCAAGGCUUUGACGGGUAGCCGGCCUGAGAGGGUGACCGGCCACAUUGGGACUGAGAUACGGCCCAGACGCCUACGGGAGGCAGCAGUGGGGAAUAUUGCACAAUGGGCGGAAGCCUGAUGCAGCAACGCCGCGUGCGGGAUGACGGCCUUCGGGUUGUAAACCGCUUUCGCCUGUGACGAAGCGUGAGGGACGGUAAUGGGUAAAGAAGCACCGGCUAACUACGU
rnacentral:rRNA from 1 species